CUUGGCGACCAUAGCGUUUUGGACCCACCUGAACCCAUUCCGAACUCAGAAGUGAAACGAAAUAGCGUCGAUGGUAGUGUGGGGUUUCCCCAUGUGAGAGUAGAACAUCGCCAAGC
rnacentral:rRNA from 2 species